GGAUUCAACGACAACAAAAGGAAACUUCUAAUUUUCUAAAAGCGGUUAAAUUCCGUUACUAUCCUAU
rnacentral:tRNA from 1 species